GCCCCGGUGGCCGAGCGGUUUUAGGUGCUAUAGUCUGGAACGCUACGGUCGCAGGUUCGAAUCCUGCCUGGGGCA
rnacentral:tRNA from 1 species